rnacentral:rRNA from 1 species
CAGCCGCCGCGGUAAUACGAGGGGGGCAAGCGUUGUUCGGAAUUAUUGGGCGUAAAGGGCGCGUAGGCGGUUUGACAAGUCUGAUGUGAAAUCUCUGGGCUCAACCCAGAGUCUGCAUCGGAAACUGUCGAGCUUGAGUAUGGGAGAGGUGAGUGGAAUUUCCGGUGUAGCGGUGAAAUGCGUAGAUAUCGGAAGGAACACCUGUGGCGAAAGCGGCUCACUGGACCAUUACUGACGCUGAGGCGCGAAAGCUAGGGGAGCAAACAGGAUUAGAUACCCCAGUAGUCCCUGUCUCUUAUAC